CUGGAAUCCAGCAGUGGCGAGCAGCAGCUGGGCGGUCACAUCUGGGAAUGCAAAGCCGACCUCCCCCUCCUCCCCCUCCUCCUCCUCCUCCUCCUCCUCCUCCACCUCCUCCUCUCUCACCCGGGAUCACUUCCGAAACCACUUCGCCUUCGGCCCCUGCCUCGGCCAGAGGGAUUUAUUUAAUGGGGAUGUGUUCAAGGCAAGAGCGAAUUCAGAAGGAUAUCGACGUCGUGAUCCAGAAGUCCAGAGCCGAGAAGGACUGCCUGUUUGCAGAUUUCAGAUACUCAGACUCCACCUUUACUUUCACCUACGUUGGCGGCCCCAAAAGUGUAUCCUAUUCAGUACAUGUAUCUGAAGAUUACCCAGAUAAUACAUAUGUGUCAAGUUCAGAAAAUGAUGAAGAUGUAUUAGUUACCACAGAGCCAAUUCCAAUAAUUUUUCAUCGAAUAGCAACAGAAUUAAGGAAGACAAAUGACAUUAACUGUUGCUUAUCCAUAAAAUCCAAAUUACAGAAGGAAAAUGGAGAGGAGUCAAGACAAAAUAGUACAGUGGAAGAAGAUUCUGAAGGUGAUAAUGAUUCUGAAGAAUUUUAUUAUGGAGGACAGGUGAAUUAUGACGGGGAACUACACAAGCACCCCCAGCUUGAAGCUGAUUUGUCGGCAGUGAGAGAGAUAUAUGGGCCGCAUGCAGUUUCUCUCAGGGAAUAUGGAGCCAUUGAUGAUGUAGAUAUUGAUCUGCAUAUUGAUGUUAGCUUUCUGGAUGAGGAGAUUGCUGUGGCUUGGGAAGUGAUUCGAACAGAACCUAUAAUUGUCCGACUACACUGCUCACUAACACAGUAUUUAAAUGGCCCAGUGCCCACUGUUGAUGUCUUUCAGAUUUCUACAAAAGAGCGAUUUGGAUUGGGACAUCAGCUAAAAAAGAUCAUGCAGACAUUUGUUACCCAGCAGUGGAAACAGAGCAAAGAAAAAUCCAAUUGUCUGCACAAUAAGAAGCUGUCAGAGAAGAAGGUGAAAUCUCCCCUGCAUUUAUUUUCUACCUUGCGCAGGUCGCCAAGUUAUCCUCCCCCUGGUUGCGGCAAGAGCAAAUCCAAACUGAAAUCCGAGCAAGACGGAAUCUCCAAAACGCAUAAGCUGCUGCGGAGGACUUGUUCCAGUACCGUCAAGGCUGACGACGUGUGUGCCACCAAGUCGCACAGGACCUUUGGCCGCUCCCUGUCCAGCGACCCCAGGGCGGAGCAGGCCGUGACGAGCAUUAAGUCGCACAAACUCUUGACCCGGCCCUGCCCCGCGGCUGUCAAGCCCGAGGACUGCCUCACCCUGAAGUCGCACAAACUGUUGACACGGUCCUGUUCGGGGGAUCCGCGGUGCGAGCACAGCUCCAGCUUGAAGCCCCACAAACUGCUAAGCAGAUCCUACUCCAGUAACCUCCGAAUGGAAGAGCUGUACGGGCUGAAGAGCCACAAGCUGCUCAGCAAGUCUUACUGCAGCGCUCCCAAGUCCUCCAAGACGGAGCUUUUCAAGGAGCCUAACGCAGAGGGCAGGAGGCUCUCUCUUACCUCAGGGCUUAUUGGUAUCUUAACACCAUCCUCGUCGUCCUCUUCCCAGCCUGCUCCAAAUGGUGCCAAAUGCAUUCCAAUACGAGACCGCGGCUUCCUCGUGCAGACAAUUGAGUUUGCUGAACAGCGGAUCCCUGUAUUGAAUGAAUACUGUGUGGUUUGUGAUGAGCCACAUGUGUUUCAAAAUGGCCCCAUGCUUAGGCCCACUGUGUGUGAGCGAGAGCUAUGCGUGUUUGCUUUUCAAACCCUGGGAGUAAUGAAUGAAGCUGCUGAUGAGAUAGCAACCGGAGCUCAGGUGGUAGAUCUACUGGUCUCCAUGUGUAGGUCUGCAUUGGAAUCUCCUAGAAAAGUUGUCAUUUUCGAGCCAUAUCCUUCUGUGGUGGAUCCUAAUGAUCCUCAGAUGCUGGCCUUCAACCCCAGGAAGAAGAACUAUGAUCGAGUAAUGAAAGCGCUGGAUAGCAUAACUUCUAUCAGAGAAAUGACGCAAGCACCAUAUCUGGAAAUCAAGAAGCAGAUGGAUAAACAAGACCCCCUUGCUCAUCCCCUACUGCAAUGGGUUAUUUCAAGUAAUAGGUCACAUAUUGUGAAACUGCCAGUUAACAGGCAACUGAAGUUUAUGCAUACUCCACAUCAGUUCCUUCUUCUCAGCAGUCCACCAGCCAAAGAAUCUAAUUUUAGAGCUGCUAAAAAACUCUUUGGAAGCACCUUUGCAUUUCAUGGCUCACACAUUGAAAACUGGCAUUCUAUCCUGAGGAAUGGUCUGGUUGUUGCUUCUAAUACUAGACUGCAGCUCCAUGGUGCAAUGUAUGGAAGUGGAAUCUAUCUUAGUCCAAUGUCAAGCAUAUCUUUUGGUUACUCAGGGAUGAACAAGAAGCAGAAGGUGACAGCCAAAGAUGAGCCGGCGUCAAGCAGUAAAAGCAGCAGUGCAUCACAGUCACAGAAAAAAGGACAGCAAUCCCAAUUUCUGCAAAGCCGUAAUUUAAAAUGCAUAGCCUUAUGUGAAGUGAUCACCUCACCUGACCUGCACAAACAUGGAGAGAUAUGGGUCGUCCCAAAUACUGAUCAUGUCUGCACACGAUUCUUUUUCGUGAGAAUUUUAAUGUGGUGAGGAAAAGACAGUGGUGCGCAUAAAUCUUUGAGACUGCUUACACCCCUGGUUAUCUACUUUGAAGUAAUUACCACUUCUCGAAAGCUUCUGUCUUGAAGUCAUUUUUAUGAAGUAAAAUUAAUUCAUCACCUAAUUCUCCUUCUGAAUAUUACCAUGGAAGUUUAAAAACCCAUUCUUGGAAAAUUCUUAUUGCCCAACUAUGAAGAUGGCCAAGUUGGAGAUGCGAAUAUUAAUACACAAGAAGGAGGCAUUCACAAAGAGAUCCUUCGAGUAAUUGGUAAUCAAACUGCUACUGGUUAAAGGACCACCAUUUAAUUAACAUGAUUUGAAAGCCUUCCUCGGGUUCAAAGCUGGAUUUUGAACUGAAGAAGAUGAUAAAAUAAUUUAUUGUUAUUAUAAACAAAAGUAACCCUUUGAAUACUGAUUUUUUUCUUAGUAUUUCUAAGUAUCUCAUUAAAUACCUAAAAUGGUAUAAAAUUUAUCAAUUGUAGGGUUAUGGAAUCUAGUAAUAAAAUUACAACAGCACUUAAACUAAAGUUUGGGUUGCUCACACAAUAAACAGAUUGAAAAAACAGUUUUGUGCUGAUAUUUUUAUAUUAAACUCUUUAAUUGGAAAUUUGGUAUUAUAUACCGACAUUUUAGGUUACCAAAAUAGAACUGAGAACAUUUUAUAAUGACGUCUAAAUCUAUAUGAUACUUUGCAAUAAGUACGUUUGCACAUUCUGAUGUGCUGUUUAAUUAGUGGUAUGAGCAUUCAAAUGUUUUGGGGAGGGACGUUUCCUAUUCUCCUGUUAUUUUUUCUUAUACAAAAAUAAUUAGGUCUUAGAUGCAGUGCUUUGCCCAAGAGUAUGUAAUGUACAUAUCUAUAGAUUGAUACAUCAAAGUGUGUGACUGUGCAUGUAUGUGUGUAUGUAUACACAUAUAUGUGUUUCAACAACAGAUGGCACAGCUCCACAAUUCUGUCUAUGCUCAUUUAAUGAAAAGAAUAAUAGUAAGCAGUAAAUCUGGACAUAAACCAAGAUAUGAGUCAAAUUUACCACCAUUCAGUCAUUGAAAAUAUUUACAAUUUUUCUAUUUGUUUAAAUAAUUUUCCCUUCAGUUAAAAUUCAGCUCUUUCGUGAUGUUAUCUAACAGUUAUAAUUUGGGGAACAUAGAUGCCCCAGGUGGACUAAAUCUAUAUUUAAAUGAUUAUAUGUUUAAGAGAAGGGCCUCAAAAUUUAAACAAACUAUAUUUUUUAUUUCCUACAAUGGAGCAUUUUUAAAAUUUAUUUAUACCACACCAGCAUUUUUUAUAUUUUUUCAUCUAAUACCUCGGCUUAGUUUUUUUCGUAUUGAGAAAGAAGAUAAACUUUGAAGUUUCUUUUAUAUUAAAAGAACACAAAUAAGUUUAUAGAGAAUAAUAACACCAGCUCUCAGCAUUUUCCUUUUAAGAGUCAUGUGCUCAUCAAAAUCAUUUAUAUUUCUUUGAGUCCUAAAGUUAUUCAUAUUCAUCAUAAGUUUUAAUUAAUGGUGUUUAUUUUCCUACAUGAUGUCUUUGGAAUAAGGCCAUUCAUGAGAGCAAUUUAAUUAGCAAGUCUGCCACUCUAUUCAAAUCCUGAAUCAAGGCUCAUAUCUGCUGCUCAGUUAUUUAGAAAGAAAAUAAAUAAAUAAAAAAGUUUAGUCAUUUGCAAGUAUAAUGUUAUAACUUCUAUGUUUAUUUCCUUUGGCAUAAAAGGUGAGCGAAAAGGUCAUACACGUUGUUAAGGGUUGCUAUUCAAGAAGUAUUUAUUAAUUGUUUGUUUUCUAAUACUGUAAAUAAUCGCUAUGCCACUUAAUUUCUGCAAAAAUAGACUUGAAGUGGUUGGGAUAUUAAUCAUUGUGAUAGGAUACACUUAAAACAUUGAUCUAUUCUGAUUUGUGCCUCUGAACCCAAAGCCAGACUGAGGGACAGUAUUGGCAUGGUAGGGCCAAAAUAGAGCAUUUUACCUAGUGUUCUGUGACCAGAUACUUGAAGACUUUACACAGGACAAGAGGACCACUUGCUUUUUUCCUGUCAAGAUUCCCCAAGUCUUCCAAAUCCCUUUGUGUUUUAAAAACAUUUUUAAGCAACAAGAUAAUUUUUCAAAUUAAUUUUGUGGCACAUUCUAUAAAUACCAUAACUACGAAGAUGUACUAGCAGGAUUUAGAAAUUGAGGUCUUAGAGCCCCACCUAUGUGGCCACUGGCAUCAUUGAGGCACCUCCCAAAACAAUGUUCAGUGCCUCCAAGCACAGUUUUAAAACCAUGGACCCAAUCCAUUAAGAUCUGACUUAACAGUUGAGUGAUCGAUAAGGAGUAUAGUAUUAAAAUCUGAACUGAAAGGGUAACUUGGAGGACUCAGGGGAGAGCAUUUCAGGGAGCAAACACUGGCUUAAUGCAAACUCCUAUUGCCAGUUCAAGAAUAAAAGUAAAUUCACCUCUUAGAACAAGGAAAGUAGUUGAUAGUUUUAAUGCCUACUAAAUACUACAGAUAAUAGACAUCUUUUAUGAUAAUAAAAUAAGAUGUCUCCUAAUGGUAAUUAAUUGAAUGCUAUUACAAUGCAGAAUGACAGAUCUUAAGUUUAUUUUGGAAAAUUAAGUUCAGAUCCUUUGUAAGCAAAUAUUCUAAGUAUUAGAGCAAUUAAAGUUCUUUUAAUUGAACUUUUGAUAUUGGGAUAGCUAUAGUAUGCUGAUACUUACUUUAUUUUUAAAGAAUUUAAUUUCAAUAUAUACCAGUAGUAAAUGAAUAUCAUGCUUACAAGAUCCAAGGAGGUCUUUAAAAUUUAGAAGCUUAAACAUUAUCAUGCCUUGAUUCAGUCAACCCAUAAAGAUAUUAUCUAUUGACAUAUUUGAUGAUGCCAAAUGUGAUAUUGUAUUGUAUUUAUAUAAUAUUUGAAGUCUGUUCACUGAUGCUUUGUAAUAGUUACAUUAAUUGUGUGACAUUACUACUUAGUAUUAACCCACCGAACAAAGGUAAUCUUUUAUUUUCAUUCUUGAAGUAGGGGAAGAAGAACCUUAAUUUAUUUCUACUUUUUCCUGCGUUACUGACUUUGUGAACAUUUCCCUAUAAGUAAUUUGUCCUCUUUCACUGUCCACUGUAUUGAAAAAGAGAAGAAAAUGACUGGACAUUCGAGAAGAGAAAAAAUAAUAUACUUAUAACCUAGUGCUAUAGAAUACAUUAUAGUAAGGCACCAAAGGUGCCUUAGACUACAUUAUGUUGAAAUUAUUUUUAUUUCUUUUUGCUCAGCAAAUCUCAGUCAAAUGUUGGACAUGGAGGUGUUUUCAAUUUAAAAUUUAAAGAUGUGCCACAUCCUUAAGCUUAGUAUUAAAUAUGUGAUGUAAGAAACCAACCCCAAAACUAUUUAUUGUUAAUGUUCUGAAUAUCUCUCAUUGAAAAAUUUAAGAGUUUAGAAAAGACCUCUCUGUUAUUCUCUGCUUUGCUAAAAGAAAGAAAACUUUUAAUAUGCAAGUCUAUGAAUUGUUAAUACCAUUGAAAGAAUUUUAGCAGUACUUUAUACCAUAAUAUCAUAACUUGCCAGAGGGCAUGGCAUUUGAGAAAGUUUUAAGGAAAAAUUCAUCAUCUUUGUUAAUGUCUGGAUGCCUUCAUCAAAUAGUAAUUUCAUAUGUCAUGAAGGGCCACUCAACCUUGGACUAUCUACCACUUAAAUAUGUGGAUUUCAUAGUAGCACUUGAAGCACAUUUAAAAAAUAUUAGGAUGUUAUUCGAUUGUUCCGCUGAAUUCUUCAUUAUAACACUACCUCAAGACAAAUGAUAGACUGUUUGUGAAGGUAAAUUGGGUUUCCAGUAGAAGGAACAAAUAAAAUUUUGCAAAUGAAAGUUAUCAAAUAAUUCAAUGGUCAAGACUGUGUUGGACAUAGAUAUUGUCAGUUACCUCUUGACAGUGCAGUAAUAUGGAUAUUUCAGUCACUGGUGAUGAAUGAUGUAGGUACGACCCAGUGAGUUAUAUGAAGGGGUUUCAAGUUGCAAAAUUUGAAUAUAAUUAGUUCCCUUUCAGAUUGGUUUCUCCAUGGGCCAAUUUGACUUCAAUUCACCUAAGCCACAAACAAUUGCUCACUUAACAGUUAAAGGAUUAAAAUACUCAACUGCUUUGCCAGAAUGGCAGACUGAAUAUUCAAUUAUUUUGGCAUUGAAUGCCUGCUAAAUUUUUGUCAGAUUAUAUAUAAAUUUGAUGUAUAUUAUUGUCCAGUCAAUUUUUCCUGGAGAUUUUGUAUACAGUAUGAUAUAUUAGGAUAAGUUUUUGUAGGUUAAAAGAAUUUCAAGUAGUUUUUAGACAAAACAUAUCCAUGAGUGUGAAAAAGCUGUGUUGAAGAAUAGAUUACAUUACACAUUUACCAGCAAGUCAGUAAAAAAAAUAGUGCUUAUUUACAUAGUCAACAUAAUUUAAUGUUCUAAAAAUAUUUUCUUCAAUCUGCCCAAUAUUUAAUGUAUCAUUUGAGAUUUAAAAAAUGCAGCCACUCCUUUAUGUAAACAUUAAGAUAUGCCUAUGUUUCUUUAACUAUCCAGCCUUCUUUACAAUAAAUUUCUUGACUUUUGUGCACAAAAUAGUAUAUUGCAACCUGCUAUUUAGCCUUUGGUGCCUUAGAGUUAUUAUAAAUAUUUAACAAUAUGUACAUAAUGUAAAUACUGCCAAGAGAUCACUAAGGCCAAAUAUUUUCUCUAUUCACUUUUUAUUGCACUUGCUUUCUAUUGCUACUUAAGCCUCUUUUAUCCAGCUUUGUAAUAGUUCUAACAUUGUAGCCAAUGUAAAUGUUUACUUUCAAUAAAUCUGAAUUUGUUCAACAA